rnacentral:rRNA from 1 species
UGGCGACCGGCGCACGGGUGAGUAACACGUAUCCAACCUGCCGAUAACUCGGGGGAUAGCCUUUCGAAAGAAAGAUUAAUAUCCGAUAGGAUAUCAAGGUCGCAUGAUCUUGAUAUUAAAGAAUUUCGGUUAUCGAUGGGGAUGCGUUCCAUUAGUUAGUUGGCGGGGUAACGGCCCACCAAGACGACGAUGGAUAGGGGGUUCUGAGAGGAAGGUCCCCCACAUUGGAACUGAGACACGGUCCAAACUCCUACGGAAGGCAGCAG